GUCAUAAACAGGGAAAUAAACGUGUAUUAAGCAGCGAUUAUUGGGCUUAUAUUAAUUGGGGGACUUAUAUUCGGGGGGCUUAUAUUCGGGUGGGCUUAUAUUCGGCGGGGGGCGCUUAUAUUUGGAAUGAUCGGAGCGUUAGUACAUGUGGUGGGUUUAUACACGGGAGGCUUAUAUUCGGGGAGGCUUAUAGUCGGAGGUUUACGGUA